UGUGUGCCUUGGAGUCUCAGAGAGUUUGAUUAUGGCUCAGAAUGAACGCUGGCGGCAUGGAUUAGGCAUGCAAGUCGAACGGGAAGCCUUCGGGCUUCUAGUGGCGAAAGGGUGAGUAACACGUGAGCAACCUGCCCCCUGGUUCCGAAUAAGCCUUGGAAACGAGGUCUAAUGCGGGAUGCGGAAAGAUGUCACCUGACAUCUUCUCCAAAGAUUUAUCGCCGGGGGAUGGGCUCGCGGCCCAUUAGCUAGUUGGCGGGGUAAUGGCCCACCAAGGCUCUGACGGGUAGGUGGACUGAGAGGUCGGUCACCCACACUGGGACUGAGACACUGCCCAGACUCCUACGGGAGGCUGCAGUCGAGAAUCUUCCGCAAUGGGCGAAAGCCUGAACCGGAGCAAUGCCGCGUGAGGGAUGACAGUCUUCGGACCGUAAACCUCUGUCACCCGGGACGAACACCAUGACGGUACCGGGAGAGGAAGCCAUGGCUAACUACGUGCCAGCCGCAGC
rnacentral:rRNA from 1 species